CUGAAUGCAUGGUGCUGUGCUGUUACUUGAUUAUUGUAUUGUUAUUUGGUGGACAUCUUUGAUUUCAUCAAAUAAGAUUCUCAAACAUACUGUUUCAAUAUUGUACACGAUGUAGUGCCAUAGGUUCCAGAGUUUUGUGUAUACAUGACCUCUGAAUUCAUACAUGGAAAUGAUUUUAAAAUAGCAACUGAUCAUGAAUCAAAUGAAGAAUCUUCUGAGUUGAAUGCAUGGAAAGGAAAAUGAAUAUAGUAAAUGCAUGUCAUAAGGAGAAGCAGUUAUGAAUUUUGAAAUGGGUAUAAAAAAGAGGUCACAAUCAGAGAAGACUUAAGUAUGUUGAGAAAAAAUCAGAACAAGCUUUUUAAUUUCUUUGAUGAGGAAUCACAGUUGUCAAGACUAUCUUUGAAUAAAGUGAAUUGUAUUAUACAACCAUGUGGAUGUAGUCUGACUAGCAUUUGUAUGACUUAAAUGUGGCAUUUUUAAUAUGCAGACUUACAAGGCAAAGAAUUGGAUGUGACAAAAAUUUGUAUGCAUUUAAAGACUUGAAGAACUUUUACGGUCUUCUGCAGAUUUCAGGAGUAUUUGUUUAUGUCAGUAAAUUCAUUGUAUGAAAUGAAGAAUUUGUGCUCAUUAAAUGAAUUAUAAAAAUAUG